CUGCAGCAGUUAAACUGAUGAAAUCCUAUACUUGUGGGGGCGCCAUGUGCAACUACAACUUCCUGGGUAGUAUAUGCAGCCUGCUACUUGAAUGGUUGCCCUAAGGGACCUUAGAGACAGCC
rnacentral:snoRNA from 1 species